UUUAAUCAUUACCAAAGACACCGACAAAAAAUAUGUUUUAACAUCGCAUAAUAGAACUUCAACAUGUUUUAAGUCCAAAAUAAUUCAAAAAAUAAAAUAAAUAAAGAACAAUUACAAGAACAACCUAACAAAAUAGACUCGAGCACAAGAAAAUAGUAUAUCAAAAUAAACAAAUACCAUAACAAAAUAGACUCUAGCACAAGAAAAAAUAUAUCAAAAUAAACAAAUAAAGAAAAACAACACAUAUCAUCAUCCUAAUCCUAUUUAAAAACUAACUACUCAAAUAACCCAAU
rnacentral:lncRNA from 1 species